GGUGGCUCAGUGGUAGAGUGCUUGUCUGGCAUGCAUGAGGCUCUGGGUUCGAUUCCUCAGCACCA
rnacentral:tRNA from 1 species